GGGCAUAUAGCUCAGUGGAUAGAGCACCAGGUUCCGGUCCUGGGUGUCGGGGGUUCGAGUCCCUCUAUGCUCA
rnacentral:tRNA from 1 species